AUGGAGAAGGCAAGGAAGGCCACCUCCCCUAAGAGCUCAUCAACUAGUCCAGGCCCGAAAAGCCCAGCAAGGAGUGGAGGGUCCCCUCCUCAUAAAAAGAACGUCACCGAGGCACGACCAAAAAAUGAGCAGCAAAACUUCCGUAAAGGCGGUCAAGACUCGGCAACUCAUGAUGAGAGCAAACGACGUUCACCAACUUCACAAACCUCACCCAAGAGAUCGACAAAACACGAGCAGCCGCUGAGCUACUGCAGGCUUCACACCGAGGAGCGGGCCAUAAGGCGAGCUGGCUACAAUUACCAGAUUGCAAGCAAGAUAAAUACCGAGGAAAUUAUUCGGAGAUUUGAGGACAAGUUAUCACAGGUGAUGGAGGAGCGCGAAAUCAAGAUGAUGAGGAAGGAGAUGGUUCCAAAGGCCCAACUUAUGCCAGCAUUUGACAAGCCAUUCCAUCCACAAAGGUCGAGGAGGCCCCUCACCGUCCCCAAGGAGCCGAGCUUCCUGAGGCUCAAGUGCUGCAUCGGCGGCGAGUUCCACCGCCACUUCUGCUACAACUCCGGCGGCGGCGCCAAGGCCGUCAACUGA
rnacentral:rRNA from 1 species